rnacentral:rRNA from 1 species
UACGGGGGGAGCAAGCGUUGUUCGGAUUUACUGGGCGUAAAGGGCGCGUAGGCGGUAGCACAAGUCAGUUGUGAAAUCUCCGGGCUUAACUCGGAAAGGUCAACUGAUACUGUGCGACUAGAGUGCAGAAGGGGCAACUGGAAUUCUCGGUGUAGCGGUGAAAUGCGUAGAUAUCGAGGGGAACACCUGCGGCGAAGGCGGGUUGCUGGGCUGACACUGACGCUGAGGCGCGAAAGCCAGGGGAGCGAACGGG